rnacentral:rRNA from 1 species
GACAGAGGGUGCAAACGUUGUUCGGAAUUACUGGGCGUAAAGCGUGUGUAGGCGGCUUCGCAAGUCGGAUGUGAAAGCCCCGGGCUCAACCCGGGAAGUGCACUCGAUACUGCGGAGCUAGAGUGUCGGAGAGGUUGGUGGAAUUCUCGGUGUAGAGGUGAAAUUCGUAGAUAUCGAGAGGAACACCGGUGGCGAAGGCGGCCAACUGGACGAACACUGACGCUGGAGAACACGAAAGCGUGGGGAGCAAACAGG